UACAGAGGUCUCAAGCGUUGUUCGGAUUCAUUGGGCGUAAAGGGUGCGUAGGCGGCGCGGUAAGUCGGGGGUGAAAUCUCGGAGCUUAACUCCGAAACUGCAUUUGAUACUGCCGUGCUUGAGGACUGGAGAGGAGACUGGAAUUUACGGUGUAGCGGUGAAAUGCGUAGAUAUCUGGAGGAACACCGGUGGCGAAGGCGGCAUCCUGGACCAACACUGACACUGAGGAGCGAAAGCCAGGGGAGCAAACGGG
rnacentral:rRNA from 1 species